GACGAACGCUGGCGGCGUGCCUAAUACAUGCAAGUAGAACGCUGAAGAGAGGAGCUUGCUCUUCUUGGAAGAGUUGCGAACGGGUGAGUAACGCGUAGGUAACCUGCCUUGUAGCGGGGGAUAACUAUUGGAAACGAUAGCUAAUACCGCAUAACAAUGGGUGACCCAUGUCAUUCAUUUGAAAGGGGCAACUGCUCCACUACAAGAUGGACCUGCGUUGUAUUAGCUAGUAGGUGAGGUAACGGCUCACCUAGGCGACGAUACAUAGCCGACCUGAGAGGGUGAUCGGCCACACUGGGACUGGGACACGGCCCAGACUCCUACGGGAGGCAGCAGUAGGGAAUCUUCGGCAAUGGGGGCAACCCUGACCGAGCAACGCCGCGUGAGUGAAGAAGGUUUUCGGAUCGUAAAGCUCUGUUGUAAGUCAAGAACGAGUGUGAGAGUGGAAAGUUCACACUGUGACGGUAGCUUACCAGAAAGGGACGGCUAACUACGUGCCAGCAGCCGCGGUAAUACGUAGGUCCCGAGCGUUGUCCGGAUUUAUUGGGCGUAAAGCGAGCGCAGGCGGUUUGAUAAGUCUGAAGUUAAAGGCUGUGGCUCAACCAUAGUUCGCUUUGGAAACUGUCAAACUUGAGUGCAGAAGGGGAGAGUGGAAUUCCAUGUGUAGCGGUGAAAUGCGUAGAUAUAUGGAGGAACACCGGUGGCGAAAGCGGCUCUCUGGUCUGUAACUGACGCUGAGGCUCGAAAGCGUGGGGAGCGAACAGG
rnacentral:rRNA from 1 species